rnacentral:rRNA from 1 species
GUGUCAGCAGCCGCGGUAAUACAGAGGUCUCAAGCGUUGUUCGGAUUCAUUGGGCGUAAAGGGUGCGUAGGUGGCGGGGCAAGUCUGGUGUGAAAUCCCGGGGCUCAACCCCGGAACUGCACUGGAUACUGCCUUGCUAGAGCACUGGAGAGGGAACUGGAAUUUACGGUGUAGCAGUGAAAUGCGUAGAUAUCGUAAGGAAGACCAGUGGCGAAGGCGAGUUCCUGGACAGUUGCUGACACUGAGGCACGAAGGCUAGGGGAGCAAACGGGAUUAGAUACCCGCGUAGUCC